AUUGAACGCUGGCGGCAGGCCUAACACAUGCAAGUCGAGCGAGCGGCGGACGGGUGAGUAAUGUCUGGGAAACUGCCUGAUGGAGGGGGAUAACUACUGGAAACGGUAGCUAAUACCGCAUACCAUCAGAUGUGCCCAGAGUGGAUUAGCUAGUAGGUGGGGUAACGGCUCACCUAGGCGCCGAUCCCUAGCUGGGCUGCGAGGCUGACCAGCAACACUGGAACGGAGACACGGUCCAGACUCCGACGGGAGGCAGCAGUGGGGAAGAUUGCACAAUGGGCGCAAGCCUGAUGCAGCCACGCCGCGUGUGUGAAGAAGGCCUUCGGGUUGUAAAGCACUUUCAGCGGGGAGGCGUUACCUGCAGAAGAAGCACCGGCUAACUCCGUGCCAGCAGCCGCGGUAAUAC
rnacentral:rRNA from 1 species